AUACGGAGGAUGCGAGCGUUAUCCGGAUUUAUUGGGUUUAAAGGGAGCGUAGGUGGGAUAUUAAGUCAGCUGUGAAAGCUUGGGGCUCAACCUUAAAAUUGCAGUUGAUACUGGUUUCCUUGAGUACGGUACAGGUGGGCGGCAUUCGGGGUGUAGCGGUGAAAUGCUUAGAUAUCACGAAGAACUCCGAUCGCGAAGGCAGCUCACCGGGCCGGAACUGACACUGAUGCUCGAAAGUGCGGGUAUCAAACAGGAUUAGAUACCCUGGUAGUCCGCACAGUAAACGAUGAAUACUCGCUGUUUGCGAUACACGGUAAGCGGCCAAGCGAAAGCGUUAAGUAUUCCACCUGGGGAGUACGCCGGCAACGGUGAAACUCAAAUGAAUUGGCGGGG
rnacentral:rRNA from 1 species